CUGAACUUGGAGGCCAGGGUGUCCCGUCACUUCCUCACCUGAAACGCUGUGGGGCUGCGCCUGGCCCAUCUUGAAGGUGGCACUUAGGAGCAGAGCUACUUAGGAAAGUAGCUGAUAGGUGCCCCUGGGCCUGUCCAGGCUCCCAUUGAGAGCCCACAGGUGAGUUUCACACCCAAGCUGGAGCCUACCACAUGGCAGGGAGCUCUGUUCUGGGUGACUCGAUAGGACAGGAGUACUGAGGGCUGUGUCAGCAGGCUCUGAAGCCAUCUGUGAGGCCACUGAGACUAGGACAUCUUGGCUCUAAGGCUAUGGGUGACAUCAGCUGGUGGCUUGGCCUGUCCUCUCCGGGUGUGCUCUGAGAAGUGAGGUCCAACCCUGAGCCAGCAGCAGGCUGGCUGGCCUACGCAUCGGAACCUGCAGCAGUGGGCUGGGUGAGGCCUUCCUGGUCCCCUGGCUACCAAGUCCCUAAUACAAGUCUUCUUUCAGGUGGCCCCUUCUGCCUGGGUGCCAGGUCAGCUGACACAGAAAUGGCAGGAAAGGAGAACAACUUCCCCCCGCUGCCUCACUUCCUGCCGCUGAAGCCCUGCUUCUACCAGGACUUCUCUGAUGAGAUCCCGGUGGAGCACCAGGUGCUGGUGAAGAGGAUCUACCGGCUGUGGAUGUUUUACUGCACCACGCUGGGUGUAAACCUAGUGGCCUGCCUGGCCUGGUGGAUUGCGGGCGGAGCGGGUGCCAAUUUUGGCCUGGCCAUGCUCUGGCUUGUUCUCUUCACUCCCUGCAGCUAUGUGUGCUGGUUCCGGCCUGCCUACAAGGCCUUCCGAGCCGACAGCUCCUUUAACUUCAUGGCAUUCUUCUUCAUCUUUGGAGCCCAGUUUGUGCUGACUGUCAUUCAGGCCAUCGGCUUCUCGGGCUGGGGCGCGUG
rnacentral:lncRNA from 1 species